GCCUGUUAGUUUGCAAUCUGGAGCUGCAGACCACUGGUGGAGUAGACUUUCCUCCCGAAUAUGUAAAGCUUUUUGGCCUCCUGGUUUUUAGGGGAGGGUCCCUGGAGCCCCUGGCACUCCCUGGUGCACAGCACCCAACACCAGG